GAACAACAGGGAGAAAUGUCUGAACUGGAUGGUCAGAGAUAGAUGAUCUCUCUGUGGGAAAACCAUACUGAGAUCUAAAGGGUGAGAAGACACCAGCCCUGAGGCGCAAUAGCAGGAACAGUCUAGACCAAGGGAAUGGCAAACGCACAGGCUCUUAAGAUGCAGAAUUUGUGGAUAUGGACAAAUAAGUGUGAUAACUAGACCUGGGAGCAAUCAUACAAACUAUCCAUCUUCUUCUGGUAAAUCAAGAAGCUCAAACAAACUGAAGAGACAGACUCCAUUCUUGGGAGGUUUGGCUUCUGCUGCAAUAUUUGCACAAUGGUAGAUACUGAAAUGCUUCAAUUAUUAACUCUACAACGUCAGCCAAACCCAACAAACUAAGAUUUUCAGAGGCUGGACACGGUGGCUUAUGUCCAUAAUCUCAGCACUUUGGGAUGCC